rnacentral:rRNA from 1 species
AAAUUGAAGAGUUUGAUCAUGGCUCAGAUUGAACGCUGGCGGCAGGCCUAACACAUGCAAGUCGAACGGUAACAGGAAGCAGCUUGCUGCUUUGCUGACGAGUGGCGGACGGGUGAGUAAUGUCUGGGAAACUGCCUGAUGGAGGGGGAUAACUACUGGAAACGGUGGCUAAUACCGCAUAACGUCGCAAGACCAAAGAGGGGGACCUUCGGGCCUCUUGCCAUCAGAUGUGCCCAGAUGGGAUUAGCUAGUUGGUGAGGUAACGGCUCACCAAGGCGACGAUCCCUAGCUGGUCUGAGAGGAUGGCCAGCCACACUGGAACUGAGACACGGUCCAGACUCCUACGGGAGGCAGCAGUGGGGAAUAUUGCACAAUGGGCGCAAGCCUGAUGCAGCCAUGCCGCGUGUAUGAAGAAGGCCUUCGGGUUGUAAAGUACUUUCAGCGGGGAGGAAGGUGUUGUGGUUAAUAACCGCAGCAAUUGACGUUACCCGCAGAAGAAGCACCGGCUAACUCCGUGCCAGCAGCCGCGGUAAUACGGAGGGUGCAAGCGUUAAUCGGAAUUACUGGGCGUAAAGCGCACGCAGGCGGUCUGUCAAGUCGGAUGUGAAAUCCC